rnacentral:rRNA from 1 species
AUACGGAGGAUCCGAGCGUUAUCCGGAUUUAUUGGGUUUAAAGGGUGCGUAGGCGGGAGAUUAAGUCGGUGGUGAAAUUUUGCAGCUCAACUGUAAAAGUGCCAUUGAUACUGGUUUCCUUGAGUGUGGAUGAAGUAGGCGGAAUUUGUGGUGUAGCGGUGAACUGCAUAGAUAUCACGAGGAACUCCGAUUGCGCAGGCAGCUUACUAAACUACUACUGACGCUCAGGCACGAAGGCGUGGGGAUCAAACAGGAUUAGAUACCCUGGUAGUCCACGCAGUAAACGAUGAUUACUAGCUGUUUGCGAUACAAUGUAAGCGGCUGAGCGAAAGCGUUAAGUAAUCCACCUGGGGAGUACGUUCGCAAGAAUGAAACUCAAAUGAAUUGGCGGGG